ACGACCUUACUUGAACAGGAUCUGUUCUAUAGGCUCGUACCUCUGUAUCCUUGAUUCCUAUCAAGACAGAAACCCAUGUCUGGUUGAUGAACCACUACCAUGUAGUCAGAGCGUGAUUAACCGAGCCUCAUGGUCUCGGCCAUGGCUCAGUAGAGGAUCGUUGCCAACCCAGUUAAAUGGGCCUUGGCAUGGCUACAUGGUUGUCUGACAGACA